rnacentral:snRNA from 1 species
GGAUGUGAGGGCGAUCUGGCUGCGGCAUCUGUCAGCCCAUUGAUCUCCAGGGUUGAUUCGGCUGAUCUGUCUGGCUAGGCGGGUGUCCCCUCGUCCCUCCCGAAGCUGCGCACUUGGUUGAAGAGGACGACCUCCCCCCGACCCCCCACACACACACCCAGGAGAGGACCGGUCUUCGGUCAAGGGUAUACGAGUAGCUGCGCUCCCCUGCUAGAACCUCCAAACAAGCUCUCAAAUAGGCUGUGGAUAAUUACUUAUUUUCUGUGUCGCUCAGAUAAUUUUUUCCUUU